rnacentral:sRNA from 1 species
UCGGACGGGAGUGGCAAACUGGGGCUGAAAGAGUUCUACAUUCUCUGGACGAAGAUUCAAAAAUACCAAAAAAUUUACCGAGAAAUCGACGUUGACAGGUCUGGUACCAUGAAUUCCUAUGAAAUGCGGAAGGCGUUAGAAGAAGCAGGUUUCAAGAUGCCCUGUCAACUCCACCAAGUCAUCGUUGCUCGGUUUGCAGAUGACCAGCUCAUCAUCGAUUUUGAUAAUUUUGUUCGGUGUUUGGUUCGGCUGGAAACGCUAUUCAAGAUAUUUAAGCAGCUGGAUCCCGAGAACACUGGAACAAUAGAGCUCGACCUUAUCUCUUUGUUUUCCAACCACCUAUUCUCAAGUCCAAAAUGCACACCUGGCUCCCUCUUCCCAUGAGCUUUGACUUGAGUGUAGCUCAAGAUUAAACUAAGGAGUGGCUGCAGGAUCAUGCUUAGAAAAAUGAACUCCUGAUUAGCAUGCAAGGGAGAACAUGCUUAUAUAAAGAAAUCCUUCAGUUGAAAUUCAAGUUGGGUUUUGAGAAGAUCCAUCAUUCUUAGAAUGGGUCUACUUAAAAUACUUUGAGCAAAUUAGUUUUCUCUACUCCCUCCCCAUUUAAGAUAAAACCAACACUAGUAAA